UACGCAGGGGGCUAGCGUUGUUCGGAAUUACUGGGCGUAAAGGGCGCGCAGGCGGUCCUUCAAGUCAGGCGUGAAAGCCCCGGGCUCAACCUGGGAAUAGCGCUUGAGACUGAGGGACUUGAGUUCGGGAGAGGAGAGCGGAAUUCCCAGUGUAGAGGUGAAAUUCGUAGAUAUUGGGAAGAACACCGGUGGCGAAGGCGGCUCUCUGGACCGACACUGACGCUGAGGCGCGAAAGCGUGGGGAGCAAACAGG
rnacentral:rRNA from 1 species